rnacentral:rRNA from 1 species
GACGAACGCUGGCGGCGUGCUUAACACAUGCAAGUCGAACGGAAAGGCCCUGCUUUUGUGGGUUGCUCGAUUGGCGAGCGGGUGAGUAACACGUGAGUAACCUGCCCUUGACUUUGGGAUAACUUCAGGAAACUGGGGCUAAUAUCGGAGAGGAUCUCCUGCUGCAUGGUGGUGGUUGGAAAGUUUCGGCGGUUGUGGAUGGACUCGCUGCUUAUCAGCUUGAUUGUGGGGUAGGUGAUUACCAAGGCUUUGACGGAUAGCCGGCCUGGGAGGGUGACCGGCGACAAGGGGCCUGAGGUAGGCACCAGAAUGCAACGGGAGGCAGCAGUGGGAAACCUUGCGCAGUGGGGCGACGUCUGAGGCAGAAGCGUCGCGUGCGGGAUGAUGGGUUACUAGUUGUAAACAGAUUUCGAAGGUACUGAGGAGUGAGUGACGGUAACGGGUAAAGAAGCAACGGCUAACUACGUG